rnacentral:snRNA from 9 species
AUAUCUACCUGACGUUGGGAUACCGUGAUCACGCAGGCGGUUCCCCCGGGGUGCGGCUGCUCCAUUGCACUGCGGAGUGGUUGACCCUUGCGAUAGUUUUAUAUUUCAAAAGCUUCACUUCUACCGUGUGUAAUUUGCACACAAACACACUCA